rnacentral:rRNA from 1 species
UACGUAGGAGGCGAGCGUUGUCCGGAGUUACUGGGCGUAAAGGGUGCGCAGGCGGUGGCCUAAGUUUGCGGUGAAAGCUCCUGGCUUAACUGGGAGAGUGCCGUGAAGACUGGGACACUUGAGGCUCGGAGAGGGACGUGGAAUUCCGGGUGGAGCGGUGAAAUGCGUAGAGAUCCGGAAGAACACCAACGGCGAAGGCAGCGUCCUGGCCGAGUCCUGACGCUCAGGCACGAAAGCGCGGGGAGCAAACAGG